GGUAAUGAGUAACACCUAGGACCAGUGAAACGAGUUAGUGAGUUGUCAUUCAAGUGACUGUUUUAAAGUCCUUGAAUAUUUCUGUUGAGUUCAUCACAUUCCUGUUCACUAUAUAAGCUCAUGAGAGCAAACAUGAUUGAGUCUAGAGCAAGACAUGGGCAAAUCAUUGUACAUCAUCACACCAUAGGCCCCGCCCACUGGCGCUUAGUUGCUUAAAAGCUGACACCUGUGUUAUUUGUAUUUUGACAAACAGGUUAAACCGGAAUCCAACAUUGUCCUUUAGACCAACAAAAACUUGAAAUUAAAUGACAUGACCAUUUCUCUUUUUUCACUAUGUGAAGUAAAUGUAUACUGAUGGUUUCGAAUGACACUGCUUCCCUGAACAGGAUAAUUUUGUACCUGAAUUGUUCCAGCAGUAUCAGUUAGCUUAUUAAUUAACUGACCACACUUGCUGGCUUUUGUCUCCAUAUUCACUCAGCCCUACUAACUAAUGCCAGUAUCAGCUCCUAAAAUAUAAUAGUUACACUCUAGUAUAGUGGUCGACCGAUAUAUAUAUAUAUAUAUAUAUAUAUAUAUAUAUAUAUAAUACAUCAUUUAUUUAAGUAUGUGAAUAUUAUGGCAUAUUACAUUAUGUAUUUUAACAGUGUUGUUCAAUAAAACCAUGUAAUUACUUGGUUUUGAUAUUUUAUUUGAGCCAAUUAUUAUUGCCUUAUUGUUAGCUUAUAUAUAAAUAGUCAUACUAAAGCCUGGUUUUCACUUAGGUCUGUUUGUGUUACAAAAAAUAUCAGAUUACUCAGUUGUCAAAAUAAUCAGUACAGUAGAUUACUUAGUUACAGCCCUAGAUUAGUUAAAAUAUUUCUAAAUAUAACUGCACUGUUUUACUUUUUGUAAUUAAAAGACAAAUAUUUUGUCAUUGUAUUAAAAUAUUGUCUCUUUCUAGUGAACCAAGUAUUUUGAGUAUUUGUAUUUUGUCUCAUCUCGUGAGCUAAGUGUUUUGUCACACCCCUAGUGUCGAUAAACAGUAAUAUAGCUCAUAAUUUUCCAAGUGUAUGAUACAGCUUUCAUUCUUCAGGUUAAUCAUAUAGUUAUAAAAAUAAAAAAAAUAAUAAUCUGUUUGAAUAAGGAAAGCAAUAACUUUGCCAUAGUAUCCUUUCAAAUGUUAAAGUUGCAACAGUCAUUGCAUGCUUUGCAUUUUUGAUGAUACAGACAUUAGUUAUGUGGUGACUGCAUCCAUUUCAGAUGUAUAAUAACUGUUUUUCCCAAAGACUUAAGUUAUAGUAGCUGGAAUGUAUUUAUAGUAAACCAGUUGUAUUGUUGUAGAUUAAUAGUGCGUGGGCCUAGUGAGGGCUUCCUGGGGGCUAAGUGAGGGCUGCCUGUGCAGGGCCAGCACUGAAGGGCCAACGUUUUGCCAAUGAGCAAAUUCUCAGGGGCCCUGCACUGGCAGCCCGCUGGGAGCCCUUAGGCUAGCCAUAAGUGGGCCCAUAAAGGGCCACCGCAGGCCUGUUUGCAAGGUUUACUCCACCCCAAAAUUAAAAUUUUGUCAUUAAUCACUUACCCCCAUGUUGUUCCAAACCUGUAAAAGCUUUGUUUGUUUUCGGAACACAAUUUAAGAUAUUUUGGAUGAAAACCGGGAGGUUUGUGACUGUCCCAUUGCAAAUAUUACACUGCAAAUAUUACACUGCUGAUUUUACAGUGGUAGUUUUUUUUUUAAGUUUUUUUUUAAUUUUACUCAAAAUAUGAUUGGUGAUGAGCACAUUUAUUUUAGUACAGUUUUUGUCAGGUUUACGGUGUUAAGUUCGUAGGUGCAGAGAUGUAACGUUAGCCUACAGAAGAGUGUAAAAGUUUCCUGAAAAAAAGAUCCUCUCGUCUCUAUUCCCACCGAGGCCUGGUUUUACUACGAGUCUGAAGCAGCCACAUUUGGACGGUUUUCUACUCAGAUGAGAGAAUUCAUCAAAUGAAUUGGCCCAGACUUCUGCAGAGUCAAGUGAAGGAAGCUCCUCUCAUAAGAUUGCAAACUGUGAGUCUGAUGACGCUGAGUGAGUGAUGGAAGCCCUUCAGUGCUGAAGAUGAAGCCAGAAUUAGGCCAAGUUCCUGGCUUCUCGCAAGACCUUCAAGGACCCAGUUGACCUCGGAAUCAGCUGUAAAGGAGGAUGAAACCGAUGUCUAAGAAUGGGACAGCGAUAUUGCAUCAAUUUGUCUUCUUCUUCAUUUGAUUCCACCAUCACCACAAGGCUGCAAGGAACCUGGAAAAAUGUCCUCCUAUCAAGCUGAAAAAGAUCUUCAAAAAGGCACUAAUAAGAACACCUUGAUUGCAUAGAAGAGACCACACAGCCAUACCUGCUCGCUGAUGGGACAACGAGGAACAGCAUUCAUGGAUGCUACACAACUGUCAAAUCUACCUGUCAUAUUUAUUGAUGUCUAGGUAAAUUUAAUGAUUUUGUGUUUUAUUAACUAUUUUAUGUUUCUGUGCAACACUUAAUGAAUGUGACUGACUAAUUAACCUCUACACAUCUGAUAUAUGCUUUAAAGUU